rnacentral:rRNA from 1 species
GUUUGCAUAUAUUUUUGAUAAUAAAAAAAAACGCGCCCGAUCUCGUAAGCUAAGCAGGGUCGGGCCUGGUUAAUACUUGGAUGGGAGACCGCCUGGGAAUACCAGGUGCCGUAAGCU